AGCUCUACUCACUCAUCAUCUUUGCUCACCCAGGAGACCCAUUGCUAUCCAACACCUUCACUGAGACCAACAACCACUGGCCCCAGGGACCCACUGGGCCUCCAGGCCCUCCAGGGCCCAUGGGUCCCCCUGGGCCUCCUGGCCCCACAGGUGUCCCUGGGAGUCCUGGACACAUAGGACCCCCAGGCCCCACUGGACCCAAAGGAAUCUCUGGCCACCCAGGAGAGAAGGGCGAGAGAGGACUGCGUGGGGAGCCUGGCCCCCAAGGCUCUGCUGGGCAGCGGGGGGAACCUGGCCCUAAGGGAGACCCUGGUGAGAAGAGCCACUGGGGGGAGGGGUUGCACCAACUACGCGAGGCUUUGAAGAUUUUAGCUGAGAGGGUUUUAAUCUUGGAAACAAUGAUUGGGCUCUAUGGUGAGUAGAGACAGACAGACGGACAGACGGCCCAGCCCCUGCCUGCCAGCCUUCCCCAAGCCCUCCUGGGGUGGAACUGGCCUGAGCCCAGUCAUGAGGCUGGAGAAGGUGCCUGCCCCAGGCAAGCAUGGACCUGAGAGGCCACAACCACCCUUCCCUCAAUGACUGGUUCCCUCCUCCACGGGUGCAGGGGUGCCCCAGAAACCCGGGCCCUGCUGCUGUGGUCAGACCUGGGCCUCUAAGCAUUAUGGGUAGUGUGGUUUCUAGGCCUGCAGGGAACCAGAGAUGAAAGAUUUCAAGUUUGGAAGAAAUUAUGGGCAAUGGAACCAAACUCCACUCCAGCAGUGGGAUUGUGGGUAACAGAGCCAGACUCCUGCAGUGUAAGGAAUCAUGGGGAAUCCAAUCACAGCUCAGGGCAACAGGAGGAUUAUAGGUAAUGGAUCCAGACUCUAGUCAGCCUUCAGCUCUAGAGAAAUCAUGGGUAACAGAGUCAGGCCCGCAAGACAAUAGGUCAUGGA
rnacentral:sRNA from 1 species